UUUGGAGUAUGGCCUUUGUACUUGUCUUAUCCUGAGGAGCGACUGAUCUGGCAAGGGUGCAGCUUUUUUCCUGCUGGACUUCAUGUCUUAGCCCUGGGGAGCCACUAUCAAAUCUGGAGCAUGGUCUUUGUAGUGGUCAUAUACUGAAGAGCCGCUGAAGUGCCUUGGGUGCAGGUUUUUUCCUGCUGGACUUCAUGUCUCUGCACUGGGCAGCCCCUAUAAUAAUUGGAGCAUGGUCUUUGUAGUGGCCAUAUACUGAAGAGUCCCUGAUGUGCUUGGGAUGCCCCUAUUUUCCUGCUGGACUUCAUGUCUUAGCACUGGGGAGCCCCUAUAAUGUUUGGAGUAUGGCCUUUGUACUUGUCUUAUCCUGAGGAGCGACUGAUCUGGCAAGGGUGCAGCUUUUUUCCUGCUGGACUUCAUGUCUUAGCCCUGGGGAGCCACUAUCAAAUCUGGAGCAUGGUCUUUGUAGUGGUCAUAUACUGAAGAGCCCCUGGCCAGGCAUGGAAUCGCAUCCAGAAGCCUGAAGCUUUCUGGUCUGAGGAGCCCCCCAAAUUGUGGGAGUAUGGGCUUCUCAGAAUGGACUUUGUACGCUGAGUGGUUGCUCAUUUAUCUGCAGUUUGUCUGACUCCAUUCCUGGCUGCCUGACUUCGCCCUUCAUCCUGUGCGUUUUGAUGUGGUAGGAUCUCUCAACUGCCCCAUCCCUUUGGCCUCCCUGACCUCUUCAAGCAGCGUGGUGGUGUGAUGAGCGGGUUCUGCUGGCUGAAGGCACACGGCAAAGGGGAGAAUGGAGAGAAGAAAGAGGUGCAGGAGAAGGAAGAGAAAGGAGCAGAAAGGCGCAAGAGGAGACGUGAAGGUAACAGGAGCAAGAUUGAAGGAAGAACUGCGUAUCAAUGAGAAAGAACAUCAGCAAGGUGGAACAGGAGCCCUGAAUACUUCCUGGAGAAGCGGGAGGUGACGACUCGAUAACAAGAAGCAGGAGAGAAGAAACAGGCAGGCUCCCCUCCUCGAAGCUGGUUGGCUGGCUUCAUGCUUUUCUUCAUGACUUAGGACAAUUCUGUCACAUACAAUAUCCCCAUAGCACUGUGAGGCAGGUGCCACCUGAAGAUUGUGGCUCUCUCCAAAGGACUUGCAUUUUUGGUGGCCUCUAAAUACUGGCACAACUCCGUGUAGCCUGUCAGCUGGUGGGGGUCUCCAAGAAGCGGCAUGCUUGAGGGGCCAUUUUCUGGCAGUUCAGUCUUCAGGCCUGGUCUCGUGUCUCUGCUGCUUCCUGCUCAGAGAAGUCUCCAAGAUACUUGGAGUGUGAUUUUCUUCAUGUCUGGCUUGAUAUCUCUGCUGCAUAUUGCUCAGAGCAGCCACUGGCCUUGGGGGCGUUUUAUCCUGGAUGGCUUCUCUGUGUGCACAUACACACACCCCAUUAUUUCUGUGUGCUGCUUGCAAUAUUGUUUAAAUACAAACUUAAAAUAGAUUAAAAACUAAAACAAAAAUACCUAUUGCCCAGGAUAACAUCUAAGAGGCUAGGAUAAAACCUAAAAAGAAUAAAUGAGUGUAGGUAGUAUAAUAUGAGUAGGAUAAAAUCUAACAGAAUAGGAUAAAAUCUAAAAAGAAUGAAGUAGUAUAGUAUAAGAAAUAAUUGGGGAGGCUAAUAGAAAAUAAAAUGAAGCAUUAUCAAAGCAGAUUAGAUAUUUUAGACCAACUAGUGUAUUCAAAUAAUACUCAAAGCAGCAUAUGGAAAUGAUGAGAAAAAGCACAUUGGGACUAAAAUCCUGAAAGGCCAGAACAUGCUCUCCUAGCCCCAGCCCUUCAGGUAGCUCUUAAGUGGCUCCAGGUAUCUUCCUGCUAGGAUCCUACAGACUUUCACCCCUCGAUCCAAAGGGGUGUGGGGGUGGGAUUUGAUGUAGAAAUAAAGAUCAAUGUUAAUUGUCUUUGUAUAGCUUUGCUUACUGACAUGCUUAUAGGAUGCUGAAGAUGGUGUUUCUGUCAAGCACACAGAAUUGAUCCUUGUUUCAAGUUGUCUUAAUCUGUGUUUUUUUGUAAAUGGCCAGAGACAUUUGGGCGGUAUACAAAUAUGCUAAAUAAAAAGUUGUCAAUAUUGUCUGCUAGAA